AUUGCCCUUAGUUAACGGCGAAGUGAAGCGGCAACAGCUCAAAUUUGAAAUCUGGCCCUAGCGGUCCGAGUUGUAAUUUGUAGAGGAGGCUUUUGGUGAGGUGCCUUCCGAGUUCCCUGGAACGGGACGCCGGAGAGGGUGAGAGCCCCGUACGGUUGGACGCCAAACCUCUGUAUAGCUCCUUCGACGAGUCGAGUAGUUUGGGAAUGCUGCUCUAAAUGGGAGGUAAAUUUCUUCUAAAGCUAAAUACCGGCCAGAGACCGAUAGCGCACAAGUAGAGUGAUCGAAAGAUGAAAAGCACUUUGAAAAGAGGGUUAAAUAGCACGUGAAAUUGUUGAAAGGGAAGCGUUUGCGACCAGACUUUUUCCAGGCGGAUCAUCCGGCGUUCUCGCCGGUGCACUCCGCCUGGUUGAGGCCAGCAUCGGUUUCCUUAGGGGGAUAAAGGCCUGGGGAACGUAGCUCCUUCGGGAGUGUUAUAGCCCCUGGCGUAAUACCCCUCGGGGGACCGAGGAACGCGCUCUGCAAGGAUGCUGGCGUAAUGGUCGUCAACGACCCGUCUUGAAACACGGACCAAGGAGUCGAACAUUUGUGCGAGUGUUUGGGUGUCAAACCCUCACGCGUAAUGAAAGUGAACGGAGGUGAGAGCCCUUACGGGUGCAUCAUCGACCGAUCCUGAUGUCUUCGGAUGGAUUUGAGUAAGAGCAUAACUGUUCGGACCCGAAAGAUGGUGAACUAUGCGUGGAUAGGGUGAAGCCAGAGGAAACUCUGGUGGAGGCUCGCAGCGGUUCUGACGUGCAAAUCGAUCGUCAAAUCUGCGCAUGGGGGCGAAAGACUUAUCGAACCAUCUAGUAGCUGGUUACCGCCGAAGUUUCCCUCAGGAUAGCAGUGUUGUCUUCAGUUUUAUGAGGUAAAGCGAAUGAUUAGGGACUCGGGGGCGCUAUAUUGCCUUCAUCCAUUCUCAAACUUUAAAUAUGUAAGAAGCCCUUGUUACUUAGUUGAACGUGGGCAUUCGAAUGUACCAACACUAGUGGGCCAUUUUUGGUAAGCAGAACUGGCGAUGCGGGAUGAACCGAACGCGGGGUUAAGGUGCCAGAGUGGACGCUCAUCAGACACCACAAAAGGUGUUAGUACAUCUUGACAGCAGGACGGUGGCCAUGGAAGUCGGACUCCGCUAAGGACUGUGUAACAACUCACCUGCCGAAUGUACUAGCCCUGAAAAUGGAUGGCGCUCAAGCGUCUCACCCAUACCUCGCCCUUAGGGUAGAAACGAUGCCCUAAG
rnacentral:rRNA from 1 species